rnacentral:lncRNA from 1 species
GAGAGAGAGAGAGAGACAGACCUCUUAAUGUAACUCCUUAUAUCAUUGUCCCUCACAACAACAGCUGCUACUAUUUAUUUCAUGGACGUACUGGUCUAGUCUGUCCUUAACGGCACACCAUUUAUGUAACCUCCUAACCUUGCUCAUACAUGUAUGAAUUCUGAAUCACUUUCUAUAUUAUUUUCUGGUGAGAGGGCUUCACUCCAGUCUGUGAACAGCUUGUGUCCUUCUGACUGAGGCAGCUAGGGUUUUGGACCAGGUCUGGUAUGAGGCAGGGCAGACAGGUAUGCUAAGCUAGCCAGGUCUGGUAUGAGGCAGGGCAGACAGGUAUGCUAAGCUAGCCAGGUCUGGUCUGAGGCAGGGCAGACAGGUAUGCUAAGCUAGCCAGGUCUGGUCUGAGGCAGGGCAGGGCAGACAGGUAUGCUAAGCUAGCCAGGUCUGGUCUGAGGCAGGGCAGGGCAGACACGGAUGUUAGGCUGUAGAGUGAGUAUGCGGCCACAAGCCUUCACAGAUUUGCUAAAAAAGAAAAUGUGAUAACUUUUUUAAAUCCAAUGUAUUUUCCACGUAGAUUGUAGAUGUAGAUGUCACAAUACAUUGACAAAGACAAAUUACAAUGAAACAACGUUGAUCCAACCAGCUUGUGGCCAGUGGGAGGGAG